CAGUUCUGUGAUGUUUCUUAUUGCAGGACAACAUUUUCAAGGUUCAUUGAUGAAGCAGAUGAAGACAUUAAUUUCUAACUUUCGGACACCUGCAUUAAAAGUAAAAAUAAUUUUGCAGUGUCAUCCAAGUUCCCAGCUGUCCAUUCUACAAAAUCAGGCAUAAAAUAGUCCCUGGAGGGACCCAAGAUCUGCAGAGCAGAACUCAGUGCCUCUCACCUUGCUGCUGGCUGCCUAAAGAUGAUACCUCUUCUCCUGUUCAUUUUCUGGCUCAACAAAGGGUGUGAAGACCACUACCUUCAGUGCAGAGGAAGAAGUAGAACGGCACAGCCAGGAAGGAGGCAGGCAGACACACAUAGGACUGUUUCCUUUAAUUGAAGAGGUGUUCUGGGGCACUGGCGCCCCAACAACACGAAUGGACUCCUAACACUUCGGUCAGGCUUACACCCGGACGCAAGGGCAGCACAAAGCCGACCUUCACCACGGCCGACACAAAAUAAUAUGAGAAAGCACCAAGAGCUCUGACAGUUCAUGGAGAUUACUGACUAAGCCAAGGGGGAAUACCACGGCUGCGAAGAUGGAGUCUUUCACAGAUUCUGCAAUGGCUUUACUCAAGAAAAUAAAGAAACACUUAUGCCCACAGAACUCUUGUGAAAUAAGUAAGUUGUAGU